UGGGCAAGCCCAUGGGCGUCCUGC
rnacentral:siRNA from 1 species